CUAGUUCGGAUACUGGUUUUGUAAUAGUAUGUACUAUUUAUAAAUUUGACGUUAGGUGCAGGAGGCACGAGGAAAGUUUUGGCGGUUUUUACGGGUGGGGUUUAAUGGUACUAUAUAAAGUUUGGCAUUUAGAUGAAUUAGUAUCGAAGGUGCUCGCAGUUACGUCGAAUUGAAGUUGGUCACAUAGGUAUAUAUGCAGUUGCUGCUAUGUUUAUUGUACGUACAGGCGUUGGAGGUAUUAGCCGAGGAAAAAGAAACGAUGCGAAAGAGGAACAAUGUUAUAUGUCAUGUAUUUAUAUAUUGUUUCAAUCGAAGAAAUAUGUACAAUAAAGUAAAAUAAAAUAUUGCAUCGCAAGAG
rnacentral:lncRNA from 1 species